GGGGCGCUAGUUCAACGGUAGAACGGUGGCUUUGCAAGCCAUUAAUCGGGGUUCGAUUCCCCGGCGCUCCACCA
rnacentral:tRNA from 1 species